GUUUUUUUGAGAAUAAUAUAAAGUUUAAUUUGCCCCCUGAAUUAUUUUAAAGGGCUGCAGUAUAUUGACUGUACAAAGGUAGCAUAAUCAAUAGUCUUUUAAUUGAAGACUUGUAUGAAUGAUUUGAUGAAAUAUAUACUGUCUCUUUUUUAAAAUUUAAAACUUAAUUUUUUAGUUAAAAAGCUAAAAUUUUUAUAAAAGACGAGAAGACCCUAUAGAGUUUUAUAAUUAUUUAUUUUUAUUUUAUAUAUAAAUAUUAAAAAUUAAAUAUAAAUAAUUAUUUUGUUGGGGUGAUAGAAAAAUUUAAUUAACUUUUUUUUAAAAUUUAACAUUAAUAUAUGAAUAUAUGAUCCAUGUUUUAUGAUUAAAAGAAUAAAUUACCUUAGGGAUAACAGCGUAAUUUUUUUUUUUAGUUCAUAUAAAAAAAAGAGUUUGCGACCUCGAUGUUGGAUUAAAAUAAAAUUUAAAUGCAAAAGUUUAAAAUUUUUGAUCUGUUCGAUCAUUAAAAUCUU
rnacentral:rRNA from 1 species